AACGAACGCUGGCGGCAGGCCUAACACAUGCAAGUCGAACGCUCUAGCAAUAGGGAGUGGCGCACGGGUGAGUAACGCGUAGGAAUCUACCCAUUAGCCUGGGAUAACAGCGGGAAACUGCUCCUAGUACCGGAUACGCUCCUUCGGGAGGAAAGGUUUACUACUAAUGGAUGAGCCUGCGUUAGAUUAGCUAGUUGGCGAGGUAAUGGCUACCCAAGGCUCCGAUCAAUAGCCGGUCUGAGAGGACGAUCGGCCACACUGGGACUGAGACACGGCCCAGACUCCUACGGGAGGCAGCAGUGGGGAAUAUUGGGCAAUGGGCGCAAGCCUGACCCAGCCAUGCCGCGUGAGUGAUGAAGGCCUUAGGGUUGUAAAGCUCUUUUAGUAGUGAAGAUGAUGACAGUAGCUACAGAAAAAGCCCCGGCUAACUUCGUGCCAGCAGCCGCCGUAAUAC
rnacentral:rRNA from 1 species